rnacentral:rRNA from 1 species
CUAGCGACUUCAGAGUUUGAUCCUGGCUCAGGACGAACGCUGGCGGCAUGCUUAACACAUGCAAGUCGAACGAUGGCUUCGGCCAUAGUGGCGCACGGGUGAGUAACGCGUGGGAACCUGCCUCUUGGUUCGGAAUAACACCGGGAAACUGGUGCUAAUACCGGAUGAGCCCUUCGGGGGAAAGAUUUAUCGCCGAGAGAGGGGCCCGCGUCUGAUUAGGUAGUUGGUGGGGUAACGGCCUACCAAGCCGACGAUCAGUAGCUGGUCUGAGAGGAUGAUCAGCCACACUGGGACUGAGACACGGCCCAG